GGGUUGUGAGGUUAAGCGACUAAGCGUACACGGUGGAUGCCCUGGCAGUCAGAGGCGAUGAAGGACGUGCUAAUCUGCGAUAAGCGUCGGUAAGGUGAUAUGAACCGUUAUAACCGGCGAUUUCCGAAUGGGGAAACCCAGUGUGAUUCGUCACACUAUCAUUAACUGAAUCCAUAGGUUAAUGAGGCGAACCGGGGGAACUGAAACAUCUAAGUACCCCGAGGAAAAGAAAUCAACCGAGAUUCCCCCAGUAGCGGCGAGCGAACGGGGAGGAGCCCAGAGCCUGAAUCAGUGUGUGUGUUAGUGGAAGCGUCUGGAAAGGCGCGCGAUACAGGGUGACAGCCCCGUACACAAAAAUGCACAUGCUGUGAGCUCGAUGAGUAGGGCGGGACACGUGGUAUCCUGUCUGAAUAUGGGGGGACCAUCCUCCAAGGCUAAAUACUCCUGACUGACCGAUAGUGAACCAGUACCGUGAGGGAAAGGCGAAAAGAACCCCGGCGAGGGGAGUGAAAAAGAACCUGAAACCGUGUACGUACAAGCAGUGGGAGCCUCUUUAUGGGGUGACUGCGUACCUUUUGUAUAAUGGGUCAGCGACUUAUAUUCUGUAGCAAGGUUAACCGAAUAGGGGAGCCGAAGGGAAACCGAGUCUUAACUGGGCGUUAAGUUGCAGGGUAUAGACCCGAAACCCGGUGAUCUAGCCAUGGGCAGGUUGAAGGUUGGGUAACACUAACUGGAGGACCGAACCGACUAAUGUUGAAAAAUUAGCGGAUGACUUGUGGCUGGGGGUGAAAGGCCAAUCAAACCGGGAGAUAGCUGGUUCUCCCCGAAAGCUAUUUAGGUAGCGCCUCGUGAAUUCAUCUCCGGGGGUAGAGCACUGUUUCGGCAAGGGGGUCAUCCCGACUUACCAACCCGAUGCAAACUGCGAAUACCGGAGAAUGUUAUCACGGGAGACACACGGCGGGUGCUAACGUCCGUCGUGAAGAGGGAAACAACCCAGACCGCCAGCUAAGGUCCCAAAGUCAUGGUUAAGUGGGAAACGAUGUGGGAAGGCCCAGACAGCCAGGAUGUUGGCUUAGAAGCAGCCAUCAUUUAAAGAAAGCGUAAUAGCUCACUGGUCGAGUCGGCCUGCGCGGAAGAUGUAACGGGGCUAAACCAUGCACCGAAGCUGCGGCAGCGACGCUUAUGCGUUGUUGGGUAGGGGAGCGUUCUGUAAGCCUGCGAAGGUGUACUGUGAGGUAUGCUGGAGGUAUCAGAAGUGCGAAUGCUGACAUAAGUAACGAUAAAGCGGGUGAAAAGCCCGCUCGCCGGAAGACCAAGGGUUCCUGUCCAACGUUAAUCGGGGCAGGGUGAGUCGACCCCUAAGGCGAGGCCGAAAGGCGUAGUCGAUGGGAAACAGGUUAAUAUUCCUGUACUUGGUGUUACUGCGAAGGGGGGACGGAGAAGGCUAUGUUGGCCGGGCGACGGUUGUCCCGGUUUAAGCGUGUAGGCUGGUUUUCCAGGCAAAUCCGGAAAAUCAAGGCUGAGGCGUGAUGACGAGGCACUACGGUGCUGAAGCAACAAAUGCCCUGCUUCCAGGAAAAGCCUCUAAGCAUCAGGUAACAUCAAAUCGUACCCCAAACCGACACAGGUGGUCAGGUAGAGAAUACCAAGGCGCUUGAGAGAACUCGGGUGAAGGAACUAGGCAAAAUGGUGCCGUAACUUCGGGAGAAGGCACGCUGAUACGUAGGUGAAGUCCCUCGCGGAUGGAGCUGAAAUCAGUCGAAGAUACCAGCUGGCUGCAACUGUUUAUUAAAAACACAGCACUGUGCAAACACGAAAGUGGACGUAUACGGUGUGACGCCUGCCCGGUGCCGGAAGGUUAAUUGAUGGGGUUAGCGGUAACGCGAAGCUCUUGAUCGAAGCCCCGGUAAACGGCGGCCGUAACUAUAACGGUCCUAAGGUAGCGAAAUUCCUUGUCGGGUAAGUUCCGACCUGCACGAAUGGCGUAAUGAUGGCCAGGCUGUCUCCACCCGAGACUCAGUGAAAUUGAACUCGCUGUGAAGAUGCAGUGUACCCGCGGCAAGACGGAAAGACCCCGUGAACCUUUACUAUAGCUUGACACUGAACAUUGAGCCUUGAUGUGUAGGAUAGGUGGGAGGCUUUGAAGUGUGGACGCCAGUCUGCAUGGAGCCGACCUUGAAAUACCACCCUUUAAUGUUUGAUGUUCUAACGUUGGCCCCUAAUCGGGGUUGCGGACAGUGUCUGGUGGGUAGUUUGACUGGGGCGGUCUCCUCCUAAAGAGUAACGGAGGAGCACGAAGGUUGGCUAAUCCUGGUCGGACAUCAGGAGGUUAGUGCAAUGGCAUAAGCCAGCUUGACUGCGAGCGUGACGGCGCGAGCAGGUGCGAAAGCAGGUCAUAGUGAUCCGGUGGUUCUGAAUGGAAGGGCCAUCGCUCAACGGAUAAAAGGUACUCCGGGGAUAACAGGCUGAUACCGCCCAAGAGUUCAUAUCGACGGCGGUGUUUGGCACCUCGAUGUCGGCUCAUCACAUCCUGGGGCUGAAGUAGGUCCCAAGGGUAUGGCUGUUCGCCAUUUAAAGUGGUACGCGAGCUGGGUUUAGAACGUCGUGAGACAGUUCGGUCCCUAUCUGCCGUGGGCGCUGGAGAACUGAGGGGGGCUGCUCCUAGUACGAGAGGACCGGAGUGGACGCAUCACUGGUGUUCGGGUUGUCAUGCCAAUGGCACUGCCCGGUAGCUAAAUGCGGAAGAGAUAAGUGCUGAAAGCAUCUAAGCACGAAACUUGCCCCGAGAUGAGUUCUCCCUGACUCCUUGAGAGUCCUGAAGGAACGUUGAAGACGACGACGUUGAUAGGCCGGGUGUGUAAGCGCAGCGAUGCGUUGAGCUAACCGGUACUAAUGAACCGUGAGGCUUAACCUUACAACGCCGAAG
rnacentral:rRNA from 1 species